GAGUUUGAUCCUGGCUCAGAUUGAACGCUGGCGGCAUGCCUUACACAUGCAAGUCGAACGGUAACGCGGGGCAACCUGGCGACGAGUGGCGAACGGGUGAGUAAUGCAUCGGAACGUGCCCAGUAGUGGGGGAUAGCCCGGCGAAAGCCGGAUUAAUACCGCAUACGACCUACGGGUGAAAGCGGGGGACUCGCAAGAGCCUCGCGCUAUUGGAGCGGCCGAUGUCAGAUUAGCUAGUUGGUGGGGUAAAAGCCUACCAAGGCGACGAUCUGUAGCUGGUCUGAGAGGACGACCAGCCACACCGGGACUGAGACACGGCCCAGACUCCUACGGGAGGCAGCAGUGGGGAAUUUUGGACAAUGGGCGCAAGCCUGAUCCAGCCAUGCCGCGUGCGGGAAGAAGGCCUUCGGGUUGUAAACCGCUUUUGUCAGGGAAGAAACGCUCUGGGCUAAUACCCUGGGGUAAUGACGGUACCUGAAGAAUAAGCACCGGCUAACUACGUGCCAGCAGCCGCGGUAAUACGUAGGGUGCAAGCGUUAAUCGGAAUUACUGGGCGUAAAGCGUGCGCAGGCGGUUAUGCAAGACAGAUGUGAAAUCCCCGGGCUCAACCUGGGAACUGCAUUUGUGACUGUAUAGCUAGAGUACGGUAGAGGGGGAUGGAAUUCCGCGUGUAGCAGUGAAAUGCGU
rnacentral:rRNA from 1 species